rnacentral:miRNA from 1 species
AAAAGCUGGCGGAAAAAAUCGU